AUCAGAGAGGCCACUCACCCCCGCAUCGCUCUGUCCUGCCCCGCAGCCCCAGCCGAUGUUUCAGCCCUCUCAGGUGCUCCACCCCGGGCUGUGCAGCCACGGCUGCCCUGGCCCCUGGCCCCUGGCUCCUGGCCCCCAGCCUGCGUGGGAGUGAGAUGGGAGUGGGGCCGCUGCCAGGGAGGCUGGGGCGCAGAGCCCAGCCAGCUCUCCUCAGUGGGCGCUCACAGAAAGGGCCGGGAGAACCCCCUGAUCCCAGCUCCCAGCUGGAAGCCUCUCUGCUGGCCUGUCCCACUGCGGGUGGCCCAGGACAGAGGAAAGAGGAUGGUGGAGGGGAGCUAGCCCAGGGAGCUAGCCCAGGCCUCAGGCAGGAGGGGGGAGAGGGAGGGCCGCCUGGGCGUCGGGGAGGGCUGUCCCGCCCCCUGGCCACCUUGAGUCAGCGUGAGCACGUGUGCAAGGGGCCACACCUUUCUUGGGGCCGGGGCGGGGUCGCGGUAUGCCUUUCUGUGUGGGUGGUGGUGGCAGGUGUGUGUCUGCUGGGCUGGCCGGUGCCUCGGCACAGGUCCCGAACAUCUCUGGGGGAGCACGCUCCUCGGGUCUGGUUUGCAUGGGGGUGGCUCCAAAGGUCACUGGGGGACCCUGGAGUUGGUCGUGGGUCUGCCGUGGGUCUCAUCAUCUGCUGUGUGUGGGUUCAUGGUCUGUCUCGGGAGGGUCCUAGGUGUGUGGGGGGUCUUGGGGUCUGCCUUCCUAGGUGAGUCCAGCAUCUGUGGGGUUGGGUGCGUGUGCACGCCUGUGGCUGUGUUUCUAGGGGGUGGCUAAAGUCUGUAUCAUUGUGUCACUUGGCUCCCCCAGGAUCCUUGUAUGGGGGGGGUUCUCUUUCCUGAGUCCCUGCAUCUCCGGGGUAUGUGAGUCUUUACAGCAUUUGUGGAGGGGCUCCUGGGUCCAUGACUGGUUGGGGUCCCAGCCGUGGGCUGCCCGGUGUCCUGGCCCUUCCGUCCUGAGAGCGUCCUGAGCCAGGCCCCCCUCCCCACCUUCUCCCACUGACGCCCCACACUUUCUUCCCGCCCGGGGUGGGAACUGGUACCCAGGGGUGGGGGCCAGGUGGCUGCCCCAUCUCAGGCUGCUCGGGGACUUUUCCUUGCGGGGUUGGGGGUGGGGGGUUCCAUGGCAGAGAAGGGCUUAGGCUGGGGGGCCUGGGAGGGCUCUGGAGCCUCUUUUCUGCCUGUCACCCCCUCCCUCCUUCCGGCCCUGCCUCAGAGGAGGAAUGAAUGGAGUCUAAUCUGAUUUCCUUGGUCCCUGGGGGCUGGCCCACACUCUCAGGUUUGUUGUGGCAUCCAUCCCUACCCUGGGCGCCCCUGGGGGGUGAGGGACACCGAUAGUGUCCUUUGUGCAUGUGCCCUGUUGAGCCUGCCCAGGCAGGAGGGGGGCUCCUGAGCCCGGGGCUGCCAUGGGAGCCACCUGGCCUCCCUGGGGCUCAGUGCAGCAGCAGUGGGUAAAGGAAGCACUGCCUUUUCAUUCAGCCACACUCUCUGAGCCCUGCUCUGCCCUGUGCUGGGCAGGGCUUGGGACACAGGGCCACUGAGAUGGCCCCAGGCCCUGUCCUUUGAGUCCAGCCAGAGAGGUUGGGGGUGAGUGGGUUUUCACAGGGUCUGUGGAGAGGCUCCUGGGUCUGUGACAUAUCGGGGUCUCAGCUGUGGGCUCCCCGGUGUCCCGGCCCUUCCAUUCUGAGAGCGUCCUCUGAGCCAGGCCCUCUUUAUGCUCCCACCCCGGCCCUGGAGAAAAAGACUUUGCAGAGGCAGUAUGUCUGGCGUGUUUGCUCUGGCCCGGGGAGGACCGACGCCAGCCUCCUCUUUCCUUCAUUGGUUCCACAGCAGCAACAACAGCAGUGGCAGUAAUAAUAACAGCAGCUGGUCUCUGGUGAGGAGACCAGCCAGGCACUGUUCUCACCGCCUUGCCUGGGUCAUCUCGUUCGAUCCUGUCACCCUGGGGAGGUAGGGACCAUCAUUACCCGCUGUUCUCAGAUGAGGACACGGAGGCCCGGUCCCUCACUCACCGGCACCCAGCUGGGUGGGGGUGGAGCGGGCGCCUGAGCCUGGGCCGCCUGGGGGGAGGAUGGCAUUUGGCGUGGCCAGAACACGGAGAGCAGGCCUGCGCCUCCCUCCCCACGAGGCCGACUCUGAGCCCUGCUCCCCAAGGCCAGGGUGACCCCCGAGUCUGUGUCUUUUUAUGAGAUUUCGCUCAUCUGGGGACUCAGAGAUCUCUGGCGGCGAUGCCUGGUCCAAUCUGCCGCUUGCCUGGAGCCAGAUACACCGCCCUUCCUCAGGCGGCCAGGGGGGCCGCAGGCUGGGCAGGGCCUGGGGAAGCGGGCUCGGAGCCGGGCGCCUCUCAUGGUGUUUGGAACACACACCAGGUUAUUCACUAAAUAGCCAGGUUCAGUCUCUAAUGACGUGGUCCCUGGUUCCUUGGCAGGCUUCAGGGUCAGACUUCCAGGCAGUGUGGACAGGCCUUGGGGACUCCCAUCUGCGCUUUGCCCACCACCCUUCCCUGCUCCUCCUCAGGGUCCAGCCCUGUCACUUUGGCAGUGGCAUCACUCAUUUGUUGCACAGAUAUUUACUGGGUGCCCGCUGUGUGCCAGGCCCUGCUCUAGAUGCCAGGGGUAGGGCAAGAACAAGAAAAGGCCACUGUUCUCCUGGGGGGCGGGGGAGAGGGGGUCCAACAGUCCACAGACAUGUAAUGCCCAUGGUAGUGCAUGCCACAGAGAAGCAUAAAACAGGGUGCAUGUUUUGUCAGGGCGUCAGGAAAGGCCUCUCAGAGCAGGUUUUAUUUGUGUUAAGACCUGAGUAUCGAGAAAGGUGGAGCCGCGCAGCCCGGGCAGAGGGAAGAGUGGGUGCAAAGUCUCGGAGGCUGCAACAAGCUUGCUGUGUCCGAGACUAAGGAGGAGGAGGCCAGUGUGGCUGGGGGGAGGCGCAGGCAGGAGGCAAGGUCUCACCAGAGCCGGGCAGGGACGUGGCAGGGACGUUUCAUCGGCUGGGAAGCCCUUGUGACGUUUCUUCAGGUUCCCGCCUCCCCAGGGCAGCCUCUCUGACCUUGGUUCUGGUCUCAGAAGUAGAGUGGUCUUGGAGUUCCCGCUGUGGCGCGGCUGGUUAAGGAUCCGCUGGCCUUGUCUCUGCAGCAGCCCGGGUUGCUAUCGGGGCAUAGGUUCAGUCCCCAGCCCAGGAACUUCCAUUUGACACGGAUGCAGUCCAGAAAAAGGGGGGAAGUAGAGUUGUAUGUUCGUGUUCUUGUCCCUUAACCCUCUGAGGUCCCUUGUGUGGAGUAGAAGCUUGGGCUGAAGCCAGGAUUUCUGGGAAGCAGGAGCCUCAGGAGGGCGGUGACGAGGCCUUCUCCCUGGUCAGAGUGGACGCCUUCGUGCCCUGGCCGGUGACUUCCCCUCUCCGGGCGUCAGUUUCCUAGUUUGGGAACCAGGAGGGGAGAGGACUCUCCGCCCUCCCAGCUGUGAGAAGGGGCGCUGCGGGCCCUCGGCAGCCCCUGCCAUCUCCGCCUCCACCAGGCGCCCAGAACCUGCCCAUUCCCUCUGCCUCCGCGGGCCUCCGUGGUCCCGUCCACCGUCUCCUGCUGGACCAUCCUCCUGCCCCUCCCGGGUCCCUCUGCCCCGUCCUGCCCCCAGUCUGUCCCCACAUGCAGCCAGAGGGAGCCGGGGAACACCUGAGUUGGGCCAGGUCCCUCCCCUGCUCAGAGGGUCCCGUGGCUCCAUCUCACUCAGGUAAAAGCCAGACCCCACCCUGUGGCCCACAGGCACCAACUCGUCUGCCCGCCCCCCUCACCCUCGCUCACCUGCCCCGCCACUUAGCCGCCUUGCUGCCCUGUGACCACAUCAAGCAUGGUCCUGCCCCAGAACAUUUGCACGGAUCAUCGGCAUGGCCCGGGUGCUCCUCUGUCUACCUGUGGGGCUCCCUCUCCUCUCCCCACCCAGGUCCCCACUCUAGCGGCACCUCCUCCCUGAGGCCCUCCCUGACCACGUCAUGGGAAACUCCCACCGGCCCUUACCCCGCGCUCUCCUGCUCCCUGCUGCAUUUUUCUCCUGGCACUUGUCAGCUGACUUACGAGCUCUUUUUCUGAUUUACCCCAGCUACUCCUUUCCCCUAGAGCAUGUGCUCUGCAAGGGCAGGGAUAUUCCCAGCCGUCCUGGCCUCUGUGUCGGCCCUGCCCAGGCCUGGCAGAAGUUCGCCCUCAGCAGACCCUGGCGAUUGGAUAGGCAGGCAGGCCGGUGAGCGUGGCGGGUCCUUUGUGGGUAGAGUCGGUGGUCGCCAAGGAGGGGGCUGGGGGACAUGUCAGUCCCAAAGUUUCAGGCAGGGUGCUGGGGACAAGGUGCUGGAGGAUUCCUCGGAGGAACCGGGCUCAGGGCUGGCGGGCUGGCUGGCAGGAGAGUGGGUUGAAGGGCGGGAGCCAGCGGUGGAAGCCGAGUGGGGACAGCAAGCACUUCUGCCUGGUCUUUUCAGUGGAUGGGAAGGGACAGCCAUGACCCCUGCCACCUCCCGCUCUGCCCCUGGGCCCCUGGGUUCAGCUGGGUCAGCUCCCUCCACUGCCCCAGGGCAGCUUUAUUCAGAGCCUGUGUGGGCGGGUGGGAAGCAGGAAGGUCUGCGGUCUACACACACACACACACACACACACACACACACACACACACAUGCACGCACUGCACGCACACCCAGCUUUGUCAUGCUAGUAGCCCUGGCUUUUCCACCUGCACACACACACACACACACACACACACACGCACUGCACGCACACCCAGCUUUGUCAUGCUAGUAGCCCUGGCUUUUCCACCUGCACUAAUUUCCUUGGUGGGGGGAGAGGCAGGAUAGAUAGUGCCAUUGUGUUCUGACGAGUGCAGAGGGUAGACACGUGAGUGCAGAGGGUGACUGGAAAAUGUGGUGAUUUGCUGGGACAGGUUGGAAACUGCCCAUCCCACGUGUUAAACAAAUCAAAAGUCCUUUUUUUAGUUCCCCUUGUAGCUCAGCAGGUUAAGAACCUGACUAGUAUUCAUGAGGACGCGGGUCCAAUCCCUGGCCUUGCUCAGUGGGUUAGGGAUCUGGCGUGAGCUGCGGUGUAGGUCAGGUCGUGGAAGCAGCUUAGAGCCCUCGUUGCAGUGGCUGUGGUGUAGGCUGGCAGCUACAGCUCUGAUUGCAUCCCUAGCCUGGGAACUUCCCUAUGCCACAGGUGUUGCCUUAAAAAAAGCAAAAAAAAAAAAAAAAAAAAAAAAA
rnacentral:lncRNA from 1 species